rnacentral:tRNA from 1 species
GGGUAUAGCUCAGUGGUAGAGCGCGUGCUUAGCAUGCACAAGGUCCUGGGUUCAAUCCCCAGUGCCUCCA